CUUUGCGGGUCACCACCUCCGGAGCCAUCCAGUACGGAGUCCCCACCAUGGUGCUCCGCUUGCUCUGCUCUGGAGUGAUCUGGGCGCAGAACCCAAAGUCGGCUGGAACAAGAAAGAUAAAAGGUCAAAGGAGGAAGCGUGGAGGACGCGCUGAGCACUCACUGAGUUUGACGGAGCCAUCCAUGCCCAGCAGGAUGUUGUCACUCUUGAUGUCUCUGUGGAUGACCUGGUUCGAGUGCAGGAACUCCAACGCCUGCAGACACUGAAGAGAAACAGCAAAUCAGGAUGACGGUAGCGACGUCUCCUUCAGGCCAGCGCCAUUCGAUUAUUAAGCACCAGAGUAGAAGCAUCAGACUAAGUCCAUGAGAGCUUCAGGAGCGGCUGGUCCUUGCGCCCUCACCUCUCUGCACACAGCAGCUAUCUGGGCCUCGUCCAUGCAGGUUUCUGUGACCACGUCAGUCAACGAACCUCCAGCCAGAUACUCCAUCACCACCCACAGCUCGUCCCCUACCAGGUAACUGACACAGACACAGGUAGUAUGACGCUUCAAACUCAAACACACCAUUCAGAGAACAGGUUACGGCACUUGGUUUUCAGAUUAAUGUCAGAUUAUCACAAGUCACAAGACGGACAGAUGCAUCAACAGGCGGCGAGUUGCUGCAUGACUUUUCCUUCUCCCCUUAAGCUAAAACAAAUACGGUGCUGGAUAGCUUGAUUUAUCAUUUUCUUGAUGAAGUCACAGUGGCGUCACCAGUGAAGCAUUAGGAGCAAAGCAGUUAAAGUGUAAACAAUCACACAGUAAAUCAGAGGUCGUGAAAAUGCUGUUUCCAUGGGAAUGACAGCAAUUUCAUCCGGCCUGCAGUGUCUCUCAGGACAAGCUGGUAGCCAUGGAGGGCAGACACCACUCAUGGGGCUCACAUUUUCUCAGCAACAUGAGAUUUUCCAGGAAGUUUGAGAAGGUCUAACUUCACAGCAGAUUGUGCUGUUGCACUUGUUUCACAUGUUCUGUUGUUCUCAACUCUUUAUAGUUCUUUAACAGAUGAAUCCAAGUGCGAAUCUGCCAAAUCUAAAUAUAAUCCUCCAAUGUUUCAAGCUGCCGGCUUCAUGACAUUCCAGUUUUUUCCUGAAAAAGCUCAGGUUGCCAAAUGACUAAAUAGAAACACCACAACAAAUAGAAUCAGUCUGACUGUGUGUGGAACGCGGCCUCCUACUUGUACCUGCAGCUCCCGGGAUGGGUUAUUGAGCAGGUUGUUGUAGGGACGUAUGAGCAGGUCAUGAGGGAGGCAGCGUGGGUCUCACCUGUCCAGGUAGUUGACAAUGUUUGGGUUCUUGUUUUCCCUCAUCACCAGAAUUUCAUUGAUGAUCAACUCUUUCUUCGGCUGCUGCUGCAGGUUCAUCUGUUUGAUGGCAACCUGAGAGAAAAGUCAUUUGAAAACCAGUGAGAGCAGACACGACAGACAGAGCGGAGAGAAGUCAUUAAAGCAGAAAGGCCGACGGAAAGCUGAAGGAUCUGAAGGCGCUGAAGGCAGUGAAGCCACUGAUCCUGGGUGUGAGCCCCUUAAAAUGAUUCUGGAAGUCUUACAUAUUGUAGUCACUGUCAAACUCCAGCCAACCUACUGUCGACUUCCUUCAGCUGGAGUCUGCAGACUGUCAAGGUGUUCCUAAGUAAGCAGCUUUAUUGGAUGUGUGUCUGUGUGAGGACCUACUUCCUGUCCUGUAGCCACGUCUAUAGCUGUGUACACUGUCCCCGAUGCCCUGAAAACACAGCAAAGCCCUUUAGGGUCAAUUCAAUAGAAAGCAUGGGCUUUGGCUGCUAUUCUGCUUACUUACCCCUGUCCUAUCUUCUCAAAGCGCGAGUAUUUCUUCUUGGGGUCUCCGACACUCACAAUCGUCCCUGAGGAGAAGGACGAAGCACAAACUUAAAGUGAUCCAAAUAAAACUGUCCUGAACCUGAGCCAGACUGUUUCUAUCUCGUCUGCUCAUAUUCAAGUGGAUGCAUCAUGCUGACUGGAAACGACAACUGAAAAAGUAGGAGCCAAGAAGAAAUGAGGAAUGACGAGAACAAAGAUGUAAACAAAGUCACGAAGACGUUGUUACCAUCAGUUCAAGAAAAAAAAACUGUUACACUGAAUGAAACAACUAAAAGAAACGUAAUAAAUAAAAAACAAUGAGAACCAAGAAACCCAGAAAUAAACGAGCUGGAGAAGAACAAGACACAAACAAAGAAGAAA